rnacentral:misc_RNA from 1 species
GAUGAAGAACGCAGCGAAAUGCGAUAAGUAAUGUGAAUUGCAGAAUUCAGUGAAUCAUCGAGUCUUUGAACGCACAUUGCGCCCCCUGGUAUUCCGGGGGGCAUGCCUGUCCGAGCGUCAUUGCUGCCCUCAAGCACGGCUUGUGUGUUGGGCCCCGUCCUCCGAUCCCGGGAGACGGGCCCGAAAGGCAGCGGCGGCACCGCGUCCGGUCCUCGAGCGUAUGGGGCUUUGUCACCCGCUCUGUAGGCCCGGCCGGCGCUUGCCGAUCAACCCAAAUUUUUUAUCCAGGUUGACCUCGGAUCAGGUAGGGAUACCCGCUGAACUUAAGCAUAUCAAUAAGCGGAGGA